rnacentral:rRNA from 1 species
GACGAACGCUGGCGACGUGCUUAACACAUGCAAGUCGAGCGGUAAGGCCCUUUCGGGGGUACACGAGCGGCGAACGGGUGAGUAACACGUGGGUGACCUGCCCUUAGCUCUGGGAUAAGCCUGGGAAACUGGGUCUAAUACCGGAUAUGACUCCAUGACGCAUGUUGUGGGGUGGAAAGCCUUGUGCGGCUAGGGAUGGGCCUGCGGCCUAUCAGCUUGUUGGUGGGGUGAUGGCCUACCAAGGCGACGACGGGUAGCCGGCCUGAGAGGGCGACCGGCCACACUGGGACUGAGACACGGCCCAGACUCCUACGGGAGGCAGCAGUGGGGAAUCUUGCGCAAUGGGCGAAAGCCUGACGCAGCGACGCCGCGUGGGGAUGACGGCCUC